CUACGGGAUGCUCCAGUGAGGAAUAUUGCACAAUGGGGGGAACCCUGAUGCAGCAACGCCGCGUGGAGGAUGACGCAUUUCGGUGUGUAAACUCCUUUUAUAUGUCAAGAAAAUGACGGUAGCAUAUGAAUAAGCACCGGCUAACUCCGUGCCAGCAGCCGCGGUAAUACGGAGGGUGCAAGCGUUACUCGGAAUCACUGGGCGUAAAGGACGCGUAGGCGGGCUUGUAAGUCAGGUGUGAAAUCCUACAGCUUAACUGUAGAACUGCACUUGAAACUACGAGCCUAGAGUAUGGGAGGGGGAGAUGGAAUUAGUGGUGUAGGGGUAAAAUCCGUAGAUAUCACUAGGAAUACCUAAAGCGAAGGCGAUCUCCUGGAACAUAACUGACGCUAAGGCGUGAAAGCGUGGGGAUUAAACAGGAUUAGAUACCCUCGUAGUC
rnacentral:rRNA from 1 species